rnacentral:rRNA from 1 species
AUUGAACGCUGGCGGCAUGCCUUACACAUGCAAGUCGAACGGCAGCACGGGUGCUUGCCCCUGGUGGCGAGUGGCGAACGGGUGAGUAAUACAUCGGAACAUGUCCUGUAGUGGGGGAUAGCCCGGCGAAAGCCGGAUUAAUACCGCAUACGAUCUACGGAUGAAAGCGGGGGACCUUCGGGCCUCGCGCUAUAGGGUUGGCCGAUGGCUGAUUAGCUAGUUGGUGGGGUAAAGGCCUACCAAGGCGACGAUCAGUAGCUGGUCUGAGAGGAUGACCAGCCACACUGGGACUGAGACACGGCCCAGACUCCUACGGGAGGCAGCAGUGGGGAAUUUUGGACAAUGGGCGAAAGCCUGAUCCAGCAAUGCCGCGUGUGUGAAGAAGGCCUUCGGGUUGUAAAGCACUUUUGUCCGGAAAGAAAUCCUUGGCCCUAAUACGGUCGGGGGAUGACGGUACCGGAAGAAUAAGCACCGGCUAACUACGUG